rnacentral:rRNA from 1 species
AUACCCGGGGAACUGAAACAUCUAAGUACCCGGAGGAGAAGAAAGAAAGAUCGAUUUCCUAAGUAGCGGCGAGCGAACGGGAAAGAGCCCAAACCGUAUACUCUACGGGGUAUACGGGGUAUGGACCGGCGGGAAGCACAUAUAAAUGCUAGACGAACCAUCUGGAAAGAUGGACCGAAGAAGGUGACAGUCCUGUAGUCGAAAGUAUUUAUAUAGCGAGCCGUGAUCCGGAGUAGCACGAGGCACGUGAAACCUUGUGUGAAGGCGGGAGGCCCACCUCCCAAGGCUAAAUACUCCCUAGUGACCGAUAGUGAAGCAGUACCGUGAGGGAAAGGUGAAAAGUACCCCGGGAGGGGAGUGAAAGAGUACCUGAAACCCUAUGUUUACAAUCGGUGGUAGCACUAUUGAUGUGCGACCGCGUACUUUUUGUAGAACGGACCGGCGAGUUAUUCCAUGAUGCGAGGUUAAGGACUAGGAGGUCUGAAGCCGUAGGGAAACCGAGUCUUAACAGGGCGAUAUAGUAUCAUGGAGUAGACCCGAAACCAGGUGAUCUAUCCAUGGACAGGAUGAAGCGGAAGUAAAAUUUCGUGGAGGUCCGAACCCACCAAUGUUGAAAAAUUGGGGGAUGAUCUGUGGAUAGGGGUGAAAAGCCAAUCGAACUUGGAGAUAGCUGGUUCUCCUCGAAAUAGCUUUAGGGCUAGCCUCAAGGAAGAUAAGUGGGGGUAGAGCACUGAAUGGGCUAGGGGGCCAACAAGCUUACCGAACCCUAUCAAACUCCGAAUACCAUAUUAUUGAUCCUUGGGAGUCAGACUAUGUGAGAUAAGUUUCAUAGUCGAGAGGGAAAGAGCCCAGACCAUCAGCUAAGGUCCCGAAGUGUAGGUUAAGUGGAAAAGGAUGUGGGAUUGCAGAGACAACCAGGAUGUUGGCUUAGAAGCAGCCAUUCAUUUAAAGAGUGCGUAAUAGCUCACUGGUCGAGUGAUCCUGCGCCGAAGAUGUCCGGGGCUAAAACCUACCACCGAAGCUAUGGGUUGUUGUAGGAUUGCCAAUGUUUUUGAUCAAUAGGUAUAGUAUGGAGGACAUUUUUGUCAAAAUCGCCAAUUGAAAUUAAUGAGAGAUUUUGACCAGAUGGUUCCAAAAGCUGAAACCUGGAUUAAAGAUGUUGGUAAUCCUACAACAGCGGUAGAGGAGCAUUGUAUACGGGCAGAAGCCAUACCGAAAGGAGUGGUGGACUGUAUACAAGAGAGAAUGCCGGUAUGAGUAGCGAGAGCGAAGUGAGAAUCUUCGCCGUCGAAAGCCUAAGGUUUCCUGAGGAAGGUUCGUCCGCUCAGGGUAAGUCGGGACCUAAGCCGAGGGCGAAAGCCGUAGGCGAUGGACAAUCGGUUGAGAUUCCGAUACCACCUUAAUUCCGUUUGACAGAAGCAGUGACACAGUAGGAUAGAUGGAGCGAGUUUAUGGAGAAACUCGUCCAAGCAGUGAGGGAGGCGUAUGAGUGAAGUACCAUAUGCCGGUAAUCCUGAGCUGUGAAGGGGACCGAAAACAAGUAGGGAAGCCAUUGAAUUCACACUGGCGAGAAAAGCUGCUAUGGAGGAGUUAGGGUGCCCGUACCGCAAACCGACACAGGUAGGCGAGGAGAGAAUCCUAAGACGAACGGGAGAACCCUUGUUAAGGAACUCGGCAAAAUGACCCCGUAACUUCGGGAGAAGGGGUGCCUGGGCAACCAGGCCGCAGUGAAUAGGCCCAAGCGACUGUUUAGCAAAAACAUAGGUCUCUGCUAACUCGAGAGAGGAAGUAUAGGGGCUGACGCCUGCCCAGUGCUGGAAGGUUAAGGGGACGUGUUAGCGCAAGCGAAGCAUAGAACCGAAGCCCCAGUGAACGGCGGCCGUAACUAUAACGGUCCUAAGGUAGCGAAAUUCCUUGUCGGGUAAGUUCCGACCCGCACGAA